UACGUAGGGUGCAAGCGUUGUCCGGAAUUAUUGGGCGUAAAGAGCUCGUAGGCGGCUUGUCGCUUCGGCUGUGAAAACUCGGGGCUCAACCCCGAGCCUGCAGUCGAUACGGGCAGGCUAGAGUCCGGCAGGGGAGACUGGAAUUCCUGGUGUAGCGGUGAAAUGCGCAGAUAUCAGGAGGAACACCGGUGGCGAAGGCGGGUCUCUGGGCCGGAACUGACGCUAAGGAGCGAAAGCGUGGGGAGCGAACAGG
rnacentral:rRNA from 1 species